UGGAUCAUGGGGGUGGAAUUCUCCUUUUCUGUUCUCAUGAUAGUGAGUGAAUUGUCAUGAGAUCUGGUGGUUUAAAGUGUGUAGCACCUCCCCCUGCUCUCCCUCUUCCUUUCUUAGGCCAUGUAAGACCUGCCUGCUUCCCCUACAUCUUCUCCCAUGAUUGUAAGUUUCUUGAGGCUUCCCCAGUCAUGCUUCCUGUAAACUGUGGAACUGAAUCACUAGACAUGAAACAUAUGACUGAAAAAUUCAACCCAAAUCAAUCAUUCACAGACUGGGUAAGUCUCAUAUGUGAAAGUUUGCUCAGUAAUUUGAAAGGAAUAGGACUCUGAGACUGGGAAUGGGGACAUUUGGGUGGAUUUGGAUGAAACUGAGAAUCUGAGAAUGUUGAAACCCCCAAGCAUCCCUGAGCUUCCCUUGAUAGUGGAAGAAGCCUUUCAUUUCUUGUCUGCUGAUACUACCUUGUUUGAAAACCUGUAAUAAGCCCAUAUGAGGGACUUGUCUUGUAAGGGAGAUCCCGAUUCUUUCUCAACCCCAGUGCUCCCAACUCUCAUAGCCUUUAUCUAGAGUCAGUUCCCAGAAUAUUCGGAGGUGAGAAGAGCAGAGUCUAGCUCAGGAGGAAGAGUCUUAUACUUCAAAAGAAUCAUAAGAUUUUGUUAACUUUACAUUAGAGAAAACCAGGCUAAUAUGUAUGAGGAUGAAUUCUAAAGAUAUUGGAGUCAGGAGCACAGAGUAUAACAUUGAAUUGGUGCCAAAUUAAGGUAGUCCUGAUAUAUUACAGUUUCCACAUAGUUUUGGACUUAAUGUUGUAGAUGAUUAAAGUAAUGUUAUCAUGCCUUCAUGUAAUUUCUUUACACAUUGAUUCUUGGCAUGGUUAUGUGCUUGCUUUGGAUAUUGAAACAUUAUUAGCAAAUGAGAUACAAACAGACUUGCAAAGCCCUUGCACAUUGGGGGCUGUCUCUCUUUUUUGCUGUUUUUGGAUUAACCUCUAUGUUGAAGAAGCCUGGACUAACCUACUGAAGAUAUAUAGUUUUACCAAUAGUCAGCACCAAUAAAAAGAUAUGAAUGAAGCCAUCUGAGACCAGCCAUCUGGCAGCCAAACUGCUAACUGACUGCAAAUGCAAAAACUUAUCCUAAGUGACACCACGUAGACUACAAAUGAGUUGCCUCCACUGAGCCCAGCCCAAAUUGUUACCCUGCAAGAUUAUAAAAACCUAAACGGCUGUUUUAAAUCACUAAGUUUUGGAUAGUUUGUUAUACAGCAAAAGCUAGCUGAAACAAAUGUAUUAGCUAGAGCAGCUGUGAAUGGCACUAUUUCCUUAGUUGACUGGCUGAAAUUUGGACUCACUGGUAGGUUACAUUCAAUGAUGUUGAGUUGCCAGAAUUUCCCUGGAAUAAUGUACAGGAAGGAUUCUAAUGACUUAGGGAGAUAGAAAUAAGGGAGUAAUUUAUUAUGUGUAACUGCACAUCUUCCCUCACCACACUUGGUCCUGAAAGGGCUUAAGGAAUAGUUUCUUCUCUAAAACAUUGAGCUUUAGUGAGAGAAGCCCCAGCAACCU